AGAUGGCAAUGAUGAUGAUGACAUGAUGUCAGUUCUCCUGAAACUACCAUGUGGGUUCAUAAGUCACUAUCUCAUCUGAGCUAUUA